rnacentral:lncRNA from 1 species
CAGACAAAUAUUGACAACUAGCUGUGCAAACUGAGCGUUUCCUCUGUGAACUUGACCAUGAUCUGACCAUGCUCUUCAGGUGCCAAAAGCUUCUUCAAGACUCAAGGUCCUGAAUAACUAGAACUCAAGA